ACAUUUUUUAGUGUUGAAGGCUAAUAUAUUUUAGUAAUGCUUCAAUGAACUGUGGUAGCAACAAAUAAAUUGACUUCUGUCUCAAAAUAUGGGGAGAAUUAUAAUUAUAAUUAGGAUUACAGAAAAAAACAAAGGGGUAUUACAUGCUGCUGAAAUGCUUUUGAGUGGAUUGUUUUAUUUGGACCCCCUCCACCCUUUAAAUCUGAUACAUGCUAAGAUUUUCAUGUGCACAGCCACCUCCUAAUAUGUGGUUUUGCUUCUGUACAAGCAUGGAAUCCCCUCUGCAGUUAUGUUUACUUGUGCAUCUCCGGCAGCUGGAGGACGAAUCAUAUCAGGUUGAUGAGUGUGUCACACUUUUCAUCCCCCAAGUGAGUGUACUCCCAGGCCCACCUUUCUGGAAAAUGUUCUUUGGUGCAGGGUGGAUGGUGGGCCAGGGAAUCGUCUGGGCUUCCCAUUAAUCUCAGAGGAUGGGAGAAUAAUCCCUUCACAAAUAUGGGAAUGGGGGCUGCUCUGAGGCUGGCAAAUAAUAAACAAUGAGGGUUUCUUUUUUUUCCUUUUUUUAAAUCCUGGAUUCCUCUAGCCCUCCUCUCUUAGUCCUCAGCAAUAACUUAGCCCUUGUCUUCCUCUCUGAAGGAUUUAAAUGGAAUGACCUUAAUUCUCGCUUUGUUUGCACUCUAUCUCUUAAGGAGCUGCAAUGAAGACCAAGACAAACAGUAGAUUAACAGUGCUACCUUUUAUAAGGCUGAUUAGUUCCUAAAAUAUGCUGAAAGGAAACAAAACCAAAAAGAAAAGAGUGGAAAGGGGGGUGAGACAGAAACCUUUGUCGGUUAGUUUGAAACAGCUCCAUUUCUUUCAUUAGUUGCAGAUAUUGACCUUCCAAUGAAAUAUUUUCUUUGUGUGAGAGGCUUUGCCAGGGUAGCAUUUAUUAGGCAGGUGCCUGGUAAGUGUUUCUAAGCAAAUAUUACUUUACUGCCUAAUUUUGGUUUAAGGGGAAAGUUGUACCAGGGAUGAAUUUGGAAAACAUUUGAUGAUGGUUCAUCUGCUGCCCCUUAGAGCAGGGGCUAUCAAGUGGUUGACAGUAUCCAAAUCAGAAUUCUAAAGAUGCUCUUCCAUCUGGAAUCAUUAAGAGGAGCACAGCCUCUUAGAAUCACAUUCAGCUCCUCUGGAUUUGAAGGAAUUUACAGAGAAACUUCCAAGACACCUCAGCUAUAUCCAAAUGAAAACCUAAGCAUUAUAGGUUUGGCAGAGCUGAAAAUGUGUCUCUGGAAAGAAAAAAAAAUUACAUAAAGCUCCACAGAAAAUAUUUCUGGGCAUCAGCUUGUUUCCUUUGAGGGAUGGGAGGUUGUUCCUGAAAUUUUUCAAUUUAAAGUUAAAUAAAAAUGUGAAAGACCAGGGUACUUUAAUAAGAUGAUAUACCUGCUUAUAAUAAUAGGAUAAUUCACAUCCUCAUUGUCAGGGCAGAAAGGCUCCCAAUAAGGUCAGUCAUUAAACUCAAUAUGUUCCAUUCUUUGGUGCUGUCUCGCUUAGAUUCUCAGCGCCACUUGUCUGCCCUUCUUUUCCACUAUGCACCUUUAUUGCAAAUUUAGUUCCAUUAGGUAGAUGCUUGCAUCAUUAUGAAGUCUGAUUCCAUCAUUUUCAAAGUGCCAAGCCAUUUAAAUAUGAUACAGUCCUUGGUCAUAUUUAAUCCAAACAUUUACACACAUCCAGGCCCUUCUUAUCUUUUUAAAUAGGAUGCAGAGCUUAUUUUUAAAUUACAUCCUCAUUCAUGCUUCAUAAAAGCAUCAAGUAAAACCGUCCAUGGGAUUUACAUUCUGGUCCACAGGUGCUGCUUCCAAUUCCUGGCAUGGCCGUUAAAUCCUAGCCUCAGCAUAAUUCUCGGCAUGACACUCUUGUGUCGAGGCAAAAAAAGGAAAAACAGAAACAGCCAUUUUUUUUCUCUCCCAGAAAUUAAGCCGCACAGAGGAGCACUGCAGCUUUUGCUUUCUUCCCUAUGUAUACCUAAUUUAAAGAGCAUCUUAAAAUAAGGUUCCCCAGACAAGGGAUGUCAGUGGGAAGUUGAGGUGCUUGAAAUAAAGCAAGUGCUUACUAAAAACGGAUAUGUGCAUGAUUUCUUUUAUCACAUGUCAAUUAGAUGUGCAUCUAUUCGGGGGAGGUUUCUGUUGAUAUAAUGAGUCUUUCCAUGACUUGCGUGCCAUAACUGUCACCACAGCAUCCCAAAAGUCCUGAGUCAUCUGUAGUCACCCCUCAAACCCUUGGUACGGUCCAUUCCAUGAAUUCCCCUUUCUCCCCAACAAGCUCACUCUCCUAUCAGUUUCUAGUCUAUUAGAUUCGGUCAUAUAACAAGUACACAGAUGCCCCAAAGCUAUAGAGCCUUAGCUUGCUUGCUUCAAUUUCUAUACAGUUACUGGCAUCAUAAGAAAUCUCUUUAUCAAUUUGGAAAGGCAGUUGGAACAAAUUAGUGUUUGCUUAAUUAAACCAACACGCACACACCCUGGUCUCCACCUACCUUGUAUCAUUUUGUACUUAGAAACUCCUGAUGGUGCAGUGGGGGCUGCAGGGAGAGUCUGCGUGAGAUCCCCAAAUGAUCACAACUGUGCAAUUGUCCUGGGUGCACUUCUCUGACAGGCUGCCAUUUGUUCCCACUCACCUAGAGAGCUUGUGGAUAGCCUGAGAGGGUUGUGCGCGAGUGUGCGUUUUAGCAAAUUUUCAAAAGUUGCCAUGGGGAGAGAAUAGAAAGAAAGCCCUUCAAAAAAGAAAAUUAUUUUCACAGCAUCAUCACUAGAAAAAACACCCCUGCAACGGAUAUCUUUGAAGGUCGACUGCAAUCUGAACUAAUUGGGGAGGGAGGGAGAGCUUUCAAUUUUGCUCACCUUUUAUAAGGGGUCUCAGAGAAGUGAUCGGUAGCCAAACGCUUCCUGCAAUGAGUGGUUUGGACACUUUCUAAGCAAAAGGAAAGGCUCUUCCAGCUUCUUCUUGUUCAUGUCACUGAGAGAGGUCACCACCUACCCUCUUUUACUUGCCACUUCUGAUUAUGGGGUAGGUUCUGCUCCAAAAGUCAUCUUUUGUGGUGAGGACAUAAAUCCCCUCCCCAGUAAUGAAAUGCUUGAUAAGGAGGAGGGGUGGAAGCAGGGAGAGUGAGCUGGAAAGCCUCAAGAUCACAGCCAAGGAGCAUUAGUUAUAGGCCUUUACUGAAAAUCAACCUCAAUCUCUGUGAAUGUACUACAUUAAACCAAUAACAGACAACAAGCUUGUGAAUAUUCGGCACCGUGAUGAAAUCGGCCGCAGCCCUUCCGCAGUGGGGAGGGAGGGAAGCCCAAUCUAGGAAGUGCUGGUACUCCUCCCUGGAGUGUGUCUGUUGUGAUUGCUAGCUGGUUUCCACAGAUCCUUGCUGAAUAUUAUGCCAUUAAACAGUACGAAAGGAAAUCAAAAUAUAUGUUUACUGGGUACUAAAUAGUAAGUGCCCUUUCAAAUGCUCUUUAAUGGCUAGGCUUUAAAGUCAUCGUGGAGCACCCUCAGAAAGCGAAAGCAGCAUGUUUCACAGAUUUCUGUUGCUGUAAACCACCAUGAGAGGCUGAACAAAUGCACGCUGAGAUUUGUGAACACCCCGCGACUCUGGACCCUUAAAGGUACAUUCAGAGAGAGAAAACAGCCUUCUGCCAUGUGUAUUUUUUAAAGUACAAUUUUAAUUGAAAAAUUGCUGAUGGCUUCAGCUGAAUUUUCUCAGAUUACAUGACAGUCAACGUCUGGUUCAGCAUAAUAGAUAUACUUCCUGGGGAAAUAGGGAAAGGAAUGUAUGUUUCAAUGGUGAGUUAUAGUGAGCAGUGGCUAAAUAGGACAAAAUACUGGCGUGAAGAUACAGGAAUAACCAUUUUCAUUUAUAAGCUAAGAACAGUCACACAUCACUUAACAGGGAUAUGUUCUGAGAAAUGCGUUGUUAGGUGAUUUCGUCAUUGAGCAUCAGAGAGUGUGCUUAUAGAUGGUGGAGCCUAUAUACAAUUAGGCUAUAUGGUGUAGCCUAUUGCUGCAAAACAAACAUAUUUUGAUUUUCUUUCACACUGUCUAAUGACAUACUGGCUCCCAGGCUACAAACCUAUGCACCAUGUUACUGUACUGAAUAGUGUAGGCAGUAGUAACACACAGGAAAAAAUGUGUGUCUCAAAACUUAGAAAGGGUGCUACAAUACUAUGAGGGACAUCAUGAUGGCUGUGAUAACACUAGAUAAUAGGAAUUUUUCAACUCCUUUAUCUUAUGGGACCACCAUUGUAUAUGCUGUCCAUUGUUGACCAAAACAUUAUGUGGUACAUGACUGUACAGUUCUUGUAAUUUCUUGUUCAAUGUGUUUGUAUUAUGUUAAAUGUACUAGUACUCAAUGUGUGAGCAGACAGGGAACAGAAUACAAAGUUCAGAAAUAGGCCGUAAACAUAAUAUACUUUAGUAUCUGAUAAAGGGAGCACAAAAAGUCAGUGGUGGGAAAAGAUGAAUUUUUCCAUAUUUGGUGAUAGGAUAGCUAUAGCCACCUGGAAAUAUCUAAAGUUGGAUCUGUAACUCAUUCCUGCUCAAGGAUUAACUGUUAAUAUUAAAUUUAAAAGAAAAAAUAUUCAAGCACUAUAAAAAUUCAUGGGAGAAUUUCUUUAUAACCUUGGAGUGGAGAAAGAAGCCAUAAGGAUGGAUGUGAUUGUAUAAAAAUCAGAACUUCUGCAUGGAAAAAACUCCAGAUAUGAGUUUCCCAAACAAGUUGGGAAAAAAAUAUUUGCAACUCAUGACAUAAUUAAAGGGAAAGUUUCCCAAACAUAUAAGGAACUCCUAGAAAUCAGUAAGAAAAAUAUUAACACUCCAAAAGAAAUGUGGACAAAGAAUUUAAGAAGAUUAACAUGAAAACAAAUACAAUUGUCUCACAACAUAGAAAAAGAUAUUGACAUCACUAGUAACAGAAAGUAAUGAAAACUCUAGAGUACUACUCUUUUUUACCUAUGAGAUUGGCUGAAUUUCAAGAGUUUAAAACUACCUUUUGUUGUCAAAGUUGGGAAAACAGGUACUUUACCCUGUCAAUGGGAGUGUAAAAUUGGAAUAACCUCUACAGAGGGGAAUUUAACAAUUUGCAUCAAAAUUACAAUUGCAAAUAUACUCUAACCUAGAAAUUUCACUUCUGGGAUUUUAUCUUUUAUAUUUAUUUACAUACAUAAGAAAUAAAUGCACAAGGUUAUUCGUUAUAAAGAACGGAAUUUUGAGAACACACCAAAUGUCUAUCAAUAGGGAUUAAAUAAAUUAUAGUUCAUCCAUACAAUGGAUCACUAUGCUGUUGUAAAAAGAAAAAGGGAGAAGAUCUCUGUGCUCUGAUAUGAAAAGACAACCAAAUAUAGUGGUAAGUGGAAUGUGCAGAACCGUGAAUAGUAUGCUACCAUUUGUUCAUGCAAGAGGCAAAAUAAGAAUCUUAGUAUUUUGAAAAAAUAUUUUCAUAAACUCCAGAAAACUACAAAAGAAACAAUAGUUAGGUAACAGUAGUUAUAUGUGGAGGAGUAAGAACUAGACAGAUGAAUUUUAGGCAUGGGAAGGAAAACUUCACAGUUAAACCUUUAAUCUUUUUUUGUUUUCUAAAUAUAUUUUACCAAAUGUUUCCUACUUAAAACUGUAUCAUAAAAUAAAUGAAACCGCUCAAUAAAUAUUAAAUCAUUUCACAAUCAAAAAAAUCAAAUAAAAAAUUUAGACCAAAAAUAACUAUCCCAGUACUGAUGUUGAUUACAUCUACCAAAGCAAUGAUGGGAGAUGACUUAGAGCAAUUUUGAUAAGAGCCAUUAUGAAUUUGGUCCUAGCCUAUGAUAUACCCUUUCACUUACCAUAUCCAUAUGCUACAUGCCUGUUUUCUGGCUUAAAAAAUUGGGAAAAUUGAAAAAUAAAUCAAGGAGGGAUAUUUAUUUUGGUUAACUUCAAAAACUUUUUUUAUCAUUUGAAAUAAGAAAUUCUUCUUUGCAGUUAGCUCUAAUCUUUUGUUUAAAAAAUCAUUUCUACAUUCCCAAAGUAAAAAUUGACCUGCAUAUUAUCUUACCACCAAAAGAAAGUUUGCCCAACUCUGCAUUCUGCUUCAAAUCUUAACUUUUAACAUAUCUUAGGGUUAAACAGAACAUAAGGUUAAAGUAGCACAGCCUGGAGAAUCAAUGAGUUGAUGCUACAAUUGUAUAGUUAAAAACUGUAUUUACUCUAAAUUGCAAAAUGGUGGGUAUUGUAUGAGAUGUUUAAGUCACAGCAAUUGUUCUAGUAAUAAAUGUAAUAUUCAGCAGCAUUUUCAUAGAUUACUCAGUUCAUCAUUAGUGCCAUUUUUGCCUCUUUAUAAUAAUGUGCACUUUCCUUUAGAAAGAGCUUGGUUAUUUCUUUGGUUGGGCCUAUUUGCUCCUUUUUUAUGUGAGAUUUUUCAAUACUAUGAAAUGAUGCAGAGCAAAAAAGGUCCAUCCACUUCACUUGUGUUGCCUCCUGCGUUACCUAAACCACAACAGAACAAUGACAGACAACAGAGCCUUUCUCCUCUCUAACAAUUCAGUCACCAUGACAACCAGCAGAAGAACGUUGGGCCAGAAAAAAGCAUUGAGCUUGAGGGACUAGACUAAUCAAAAAAUGGAAUAACAUGGCAACAAUUACACUGAUGAGUGAGAGGGAAGCUACAGAUGCAUUCAGACACCUAUGGCACCACAGACUCAACGCAUUCAGCAUUUUGUGUUUAGUGUCUUGUGUUUUUGAGAGCAGGAAUGGAUCACCUCUCCUCAAAGAAAGUAAAAGGCAUGAAAUACCAUCAUUCUCAUGGAGAAAUCGGAGGGUCAGCAUUUAAAGUCAUCACAUUUCAAACACCAGAAUUUGGGCCAGGCACAGCGGCUCAUGCCUGUAAUCCCAGCACUCUGGAAGGG